CAAAAAGUUCAUUUGAACUUUUCCAUAAGUUGUUACAAAAACCCGGAUGAACUUUUUGGC
ensembl:miRNA